UGGCUCAGUGGUUAAGAGCACUGAACUGCUCUUCUGAGGUCCUGAGUUCAAAUCCCAG
rnacentral:tRNA from 1 species